rnacentral:rRNA from 1 species
CCUACGGGAGGCAGCAGUGGGGAAUUUUGGACAAUGGGCGCACGCCUGAUCCAGCAAUGCCGCGUGAGUGAAGAAGGCCUUCGGGUUGUAAAGCUCUUUUGUCAGGGAAGAAACGGUCUACUCUAAUACAGUGGGCUAAUGACGGUACCUGAAGAAUAAGCACCGGCUAACUACGUGCCAGCAGCCGCGGUAAUACGUAGGGUGCAAGCGUUAAUCGGAAUUACUGGGCGUAAAGCGUGCGCAGGCGGUUAUAUAAGUCAGAUGUGAAAUCCCCGGGCUCAACCUGGGAACUGCAUUUGAGACUGUAUGGCUAGAGUGUGUCAGAGGGGGGUAGAAUUCCACGUGUAGCAGUGAAAUGCGUAGAUAUGUGGAGGAAUACCGAUGGCGAAGGCAGCCCCCUGGGAUAACACUGACGCUCAUGCACGAAAGCGUGGGGAGCAAACAGGAUUAGAUACCCUGGUAGUCCACGCCCUAAACGAUGUCUACUAGUUGUCGGGACUUAAUUGUCUUGGUAACGCAGCUAACGCGUGAAGUAGACCGCCUGGGGGAGGUACGGUCGCGAGAAGUAAACGUACGUAAGUAGAAGUUAGUACGGCGUAGAGACGUUAGCCGACGGACGACGACGAGGGGAGGAGGG